AGUGAACGCUGGCGGUAGGCCUAACACACGCAAGUCGAACGGCAGCACAGCAAGACCUUGCUCUUACGGGUGGCGAGUGGCGGACGGUUGAGGAAUACAUCGGAAUAUACCUUUUCGAGGGGGAUAACGUAGGGAAACCUACGCUAAUACCGCAUACGACCUACGGGUGAAAGAAGGGGAUCUUCGGACCUUGCGCGAUUGAAUGAGCCGAUGUAGGAUUAGCUAGUUGGCGGGGUAAAGGCCCACCAAGGCGACGAUCCGUAGCUGGUCGGAGAGGAUGAUCAGGCACACUGGAACUAAGACACGGUCCAGACUCCUGCGGGAGGCAGCAGUGGGGAAUAUUGGACAAUGGGCGCAGGCCUGAUCCAGCCAUACCGCGUGGGUCAAGAAGGCCUUCGGGUUGUAAAGCCCUUUUGUUGGGAAAGAAAAGCAGCAGGUUAAUACCCCGCUGUUCUGACGGUACCCAAAGAAUAGGCACCGGCUGACUUCGUG
rnacentral:rRNA from 1 species